rnacentral:rRNA from 1 species
GAUGAACGCUGGCGGCGUGCCUAAUACAUGCAAGUCGAGCGAACGGACGAGAAGCUUGCUUCUCUGAUGUUAGCGGCGGACGGGUGAGUAACACGUGGAUAACCUACCUAUAAGACUGGGAUAACUUCGGGAAACCGUAGCUAAUACCGGAUAAUAUUUUGAACCGCAUGGUUCAAAAGUGAAAGACGGUCUUGCUGUCACUUAUAGAUGGAUCCGCGCUGCAUUAGCUAGUUGGUAAGGUAACGGCUUACCAAGGCAACGAUGCAUAGCCGACCUGAGAGGGUGAUCGGCCACACUGGAACUGAGACACGGUCCAGACUCCUGCGGGAGGCAGCAGUAGGGAAUCUUCCGCAAUGGGCGAGAGCCUGACAGAGCACCGCCGCGUGAGUGAUGAAGGUCCUCGGAUCGUAAAGCUCUGUUAUUAGGGAAGAACAUAUGUGUAAGUAACUGUGCACAUCUUGACGGUACCUAAUCAGAAAGCCACGGCUAACUACGUG